rnacentral:sRNA from 1 species
CUGCUUUCCCAGUAGUCUGCAUACUUGUAUCUAUUUGUAAUUGUGAAUGUAAUGUUGGCCUUUUCCAUUAGAUGGAAGUUCCAUGAAAACGGGACCAUGAGUUUCAUCCACUGUAUUCUUAGCUCCUGGCACAUGGCAGGCACUCAGGGAAAGUAUGUAGCCUUAUGAACUGACUGAUCUGAGGGAGGUACUUUUGUAAGCCAUAGUAUUGGUCACUGGCAUGAGGCCACCUACUGGCUCCCUGCCAUCCAGCCCUGGGAGUAGCAUGAAGCAGCAUGGCACUGGCCUCCUGGAAGCUUGGAGAGGAGUCUUACCCAAGCUUUGCUCCUAGACAUUAAACUUCCCAGCUGGGCACUAACGUGGCUGCAGAACCUGCCCUUGCUCAGUCCGUCCCUGGUGCAGCUGCUGGGAGAGCCUGCCUCGAGGCAGAGCCAGCAGAGCUGUUGAAGAGCUGGUUGUGCUCCUCCUCAACCCCACCCCCACAGGCUGCCUUUGACCAGCGCAUGAAGACAUGGCAGCGCUGGCAGGAUGCCCAAGCCACACUGCAGAAGAAGCGGGAGGCCGAGGCUCGGCUGCUGUGGGCCAACAAGCCUGAUAAGCUGCAGCAGGCCAAGGACGAGAUCCUCGAGUGGGAGUCUCGGGUGACUCAAUAUGAAAGGGACUUCGAGAGGAUUUCAACAGUGGUCCGAAAAGAAGUGAUACGGUUUGA